ensembl:lncRNA
CCAUGCCACUGGGGCCAGGCUAAAACUUUUAGCAACGUUUUCUUCUGACUCAAACAGGAAAGAGACCAGCUGGCAAAAGGGAGAGAUCUCACCACUAGCAGAAGAGCCCUAUUUGGGGCAUGUGGCCUGUGCCAGCCCAGUGCUCCCCACACCCCAAGGCUGCUCCUUCCCAGCCUCUGUGCACCUUCUCCACCCUACAGCAUCAUCUCAGUGGUUUCUUCACCCCUUCAUCUUCCUGUGCUGCAGCAUGGCUCUGCCCUGGUGGGUAGAGAUGGCCUUGGAAACUGUGCCUCCUUAUGACCACAGACUGUUCUUGGCUUGAAAAUCCCCAAGCACAAAAAAUAACCUACAGACUCGGGACAGUGAACUUGCCUUCAGAGGGCUAGGAGGCCACUGCUCUAACCGGGGCUGGGAUGUCUUGGCUACAUGCCCAACAGAUAUCCGAAUCCAUCUGAGUGCUGGGUGCCAGGGAGAGGAAAUGAAUUCCCUUCCUCAGCAGCUCAUGAGCUCCCAGCAACCCUCCUCCACCAGGGACAGAUUCUUCUCUCCACCAAAGAAUGUUCCCAGCACUGCUAUGGCAGUCUCCCAAGGUGCAGUCCCUGGGUCUGCGGCUCCUGGACGGAGGUGCUUUCUUAUGUUCUCCCAGGCUUGUGGCCAAGGUACAGGAUACCUGCCUGGGGUGUGGCCAGGUCAAUGCCCACCUCACUGAGGAACUGUGGCUCAGUGACUAGUGGCCACAGAUGCGGUGGUGUCUUCAUCCCAUGUGGCUCUGCCAAAUGGUUUGUGGCUCUUUUCUGAGUGUGUAGUUGGCAGACAGAGUCUCAGAAUGACUCAAGAUACGCUAAAAAUACUUUUGGCCAUCUACCACCUGGGCCAUUAACCUCCUAACCUCAUACCCUUCCUCUCUUCUCCUCUACUGGUGCUUUUCCUGUACCCUGGACAUUUUGGACUUUUACUUUUAAUUAAAACAACACAUGGACAGUCCUGCAAGACUUACAACAAAAAUACAAGAUAAACCAGCAACUACCUGUCCCCAGACCUGCUCCCACUUGUGGAAAAACAGAAUGGAGCAUCAGCUCUGUGUCAGGCUGUUGGGCUGAUGAACCAAGUUCCUACCCUCCCACAGUGGAAUUUCUAGGGAAACCUCCUCUAACCCUUUUAACUCUUCUGUAAUUCUCCAGCACAUGCUUAUAUUGCUCCCUUCUUUUCCUUUUGAAUUUUGGAGAGUAUCUAACGGCUUCCUAACAUGGAAGACAUGGAAUUAGUUCCCUUACAUACAGAUUUUUAUGUUUUGCCUUCCACAAGUCCGAAUCCCAUUUCAUUACAAUUUGGGGAUACAUUAGCACAGUGGACCCUUGUUUUAGGAACUCAAUUUGUUCACGAGGGCUGGUUGUAACUUAAGUUGGUCAAUUGAAGGCUCAAGCUCCUCUACACAGUCCUCAAAGUCUCUGUCUUAUAUACAGGCAGAUCUCAGUGUCCUUAGAGACAUUGGCCCAGGAUUUCUCAAUUAACCCCACACAAGAAAGGAUGUUGUAAUGUUCCUUCCAGAAAUCUUUAAGGGUUAAGUCUGUAUCUGAGACCAUCUGGGAUCACAAGCAGCUGGCAUUUGGGUCAUAACUGAAGACUGUGGUUGUAAGUUAAAACUAAAAUUCCAGUCAUAACCCAAGUUGUUCGUAUGCCAGGCCAGUCAUAACUCGAGGGUCCACUGUAUUUGGUGUUUAUAUUACCAUGGUUAUGUAAAUAUUUUUCCCCUGUGAGCUGUGCAGUGCAUUACGACUACAUAUUCUAUUUUGUGUUAUUUGCUUUUCCAGUUCCUAAUUGCCUUGUUUUCUUCUUGCAUCAAACUGGGCACUCAGUACAUCCUUUAAAACUAGACUCAAGAGUUUUGGUUCUGGGAGGCUAGAAAGCAUAACUGCACUUUGUAAAGUCCUUUAGUUAGGGGCUGGGGCUGUAGCUUAGCGGUGAAACACUUGCUUAGCAUGCACAAGGCCCUAGGUUUGAUACCCA